UACGUAGGUGGCAAGCGUUGUCCGGAUUUACUGGGCGUAAAGAGCGCGCAGGCGGUCCGAUCAGUCGAAUGUGAAAGCCCCCGGCUCAACUGGGGAGGGUCAUUCGAUACUGUCGGACUCGAAGGCAGGAGAGGGAAGCGGAAUUCCCGGUGUAGCGGUGAAAUGCGUAGAGAUCGGGAGGAACACCGGCGGCGAAGGCGGCUGCCUGGACCAGUCCUGACGCUGAGGCGCGAAAGCUAGGGGAGCAAACAGG
rnacentral:rRNA from 1 species